ensembl:lncRNA NRP2-AS1 NRP2 antisense RNA 1
CACAGCAACUUGCUCUCCUGGCUGGCUUCCCGCACCACCUGCAGCGCCACCCCGCGGCCGCCCGUGGCCUGCUGCCUCACCUACCUCCCUGCUCCCCUAAGCUCCUUCCUGUUUAGGCUCUCUGGGAUUAGUGCUUCAGAAGCUAUGCUUCCCUGAAGUCAAAUGAGACCAGUUUAGUAUGCGUAUAUGGGAUUCCAGUUUGUGCCUCUUCAACCAUCCAAAGCCACAUCUGUCUACAUACCCUACAAGGUGUGACCUCUGCAAGGCCAAAAUCAGCACAGAUAACUAAAAGGCAGCUGUCUACAGAAGAGAAUUAAUAAUGGUGUCUGCUGAGGGAGGAUACACUGAUGCCAAAUCAGACCCUCAAAGAUCUUCUAAACCUAUGCUUCCCCUAUCAGAUCUUACUAUUACUGCUGUUAAUGAUAAUAAUUAAAGCUCAUUCUUG